GCAGAAAGAAGAGGCAGACACGCGCGGCCGCCGUCGACACAUAAAACCCACCCGCCGGACCGACCGACCGCCCGCGGCGCACACACCAAGACGACAGUCGGCAGCGGCGCUCCCCCCCUUCAACAGUCUACUUCCUCGUUUCCGUCCAGGUCAUACCUGAGUUGCUGCUGCCGAAAUGAGCAGCACGGAAGCCCCAACGCCCGUGCAGGCACCUGUGUGCUCCAUUGUGAACGACGGCCCAGCACCUCCAGCUGCUUGCUCCAUUGUGAACGAAGCCCCAGCUCCUGCCACUGACCCGAAGCCGAAGAAGAAGAUAUGCUGCGCUUGCCCCGACACCAAGAGGCUCAGAGAUGAGUGCAUCAUCGAGUACGGGGAGUCUGCGUGCACUAACUGGAUCGAGGCUCACAAGCAGCGCCUCCGUGCCGAGGGGUUCAAGGUCUGAUUCUUCUCUAGUCCCCUGAGGAUGUUGCAUUUGCUUUCAUGGAUGUUGCAGAACAUGCUAUUGGAGAUUCAGUUAGAGGAGUUGUCUUGUUUUCCAAUGCUGUGCCUGUAUGGUUUAAUGGUUAGCGAGCUCGAUACCUGUUCCCAUGGGACAUAAAUUACUGAUGACUGAUUUUAU
rnacentral:rRNA from 1 species